GGAUGGGUGAGUAUCACGUGGGCAACCUGCCUGUAAGAUUGGGAUAACUCGCGGAAACGUGAGCUAAUACCGAAUGAAGUCUUUCACCACCUGGUGAAAGGAUGAAAGAUGGCUUUUAGCUAUCACUUACAGAUGGGCCCGCGGCGCAUUAGCUAGUUGGUGGGGUAAAGGCCUACCAAGGCGACGAUGCGUAGCCGACCUGAGAGGGUGAUCGGCCACACUGGGACUGAGACACGGCCCAGACUCCUACGGGAGGCAGCAGUAGGGAAUCUUCCGCAAUGGACGAAAGUCUGACGGAGCAACGCCGCGUGAGUGAUGAAGGUCUUCGGAUCGUAAAACUCUGUUGUCAGGGAAGAACAAGUUGUGUUCUAACAGGACAUGACCUUGACGGUACCUGACCAGAAAGCCCCGGCUAACUACGUGCCAGCAGCCGCGGUAAUACGUAGGGGGCAAGCGUUGUCCGGAAUUAUUGGGCGUAAAG
rnacentral:rRNA from 1 species